AUGUUACGGGGCUGCCUAUGCUAUCCCUAUACCCUUCGUUGAUUAAUGGUGCUAUAUUGUUAUAAAUUAUUACACCCUCGUCUUUUCUUUUUUCUUCUAUUUGAUUAGUCCUGUCAUGUUUGUUUUUUUCUAUAUACCCUAAAUCUCUUGUAGAUUUAGUUAUCCGACUUUCUCUCAUUCGUUGGAAAUUUCUUAUAUUUGUUAAUCAUGUGACUUUUCUCAUGCAUUAGAAAUUUCUGAACAUUAUUGCAUUUUUUGCCUUUUCUCACAAUUACAAAUUUUUACAUGCAUUUUCUCAUACAUGUGCUCGAUAUUCUCUCACUAAAGUACGAAACACUUCUUGGUGUGGUGGUGGAGUUGUGUGGGUGCAUGGCUGCACUCAUCUUGGUUCAAAUCCUGAUGCUCAGGAUUUUGUUGUAUGGGUCUCCCUCAUAGUCUUUUCAAAAAAAAAAGAUUUUCUCUCAACAAACACUCUUUUGUCAAAACAUAUCCACAUUGGAUAUUUUUCAUCAAAAUAUGUACAAAUUUUUGCAACAAAAUUUCUCGGAGAAAUCAUUGUACUGUAUUUUUUUUUCAAAAUAUGAAGAACCACAUGUGUUCUUCUGUCAAGAUCAGCUU
rnacentral:lncRNA from 1 species